rnacentral:rRNA from 1 species
UCUGAAUCUGCGUACGGCUCCGCAAACCAGUUGUAAACUAUAGCAAGUUCGUUCCGUUGUCGGCCGCAAGGCUAGCAAUGGGGCAAUAAGGAUAUCCGUGGUAAUUCUGAGGCUAAUACAAGAACGUAACCCCUGGUCGACCGGGCAACUGGAAGGCUGGGGGGUGUGCAACUAUGCGCAUAAAAGACUGGGAAUGGGUGCACGCUCUGACCACCGUACCAAACAGUCGCGUCUCGAGGCUUCGGCCAAAGGGCGAGUCUGGGUGGCUCUUGCUGUGUGCUUCUGACCUAUCAACUAGAGGCAGCGUAACGGACAUG